AUUGAACGCUGGCGGCAGGCCUAACACAUGCAAGUCGAACGGCAGCGGGGGGUAGCUUGCUAUCCUGCCGGCGAGUGGCGGACGGGUGAGUAAUGCAUGGGGAGCUGCCCAGUCGAGGGGGAUAACAACUGGAAACGGUUGCUAAUACCGCAUACGCCCUAAGGGGGAAAGGUGGGGAACUUCGGUCAUACCGCGAUUGGAUUCGCCCAUGUGGGAUUAGCUAGUUGGUGAGGUAACGGCUCACCAAGGCGACGAUCUCUAGCUGGUCUGAGAGGAUGACCAGCCACACUGGAACUGAGACACGGUCCAGACUCCUACGGGAGGCAGCAGUGGGGAAUAUUGCACAAUGGGGGAAACCCUGAUGCAGCCAUGCCGCGUGUGUGAAGAAGGCCUUCGGGUUGUAAAGCACUUUCAGUCAGGAGGAAGGGGUGAUGGCUAAUAUCCAUCAUCAUUGACGUUACUGACAGAAGAAGCACCGGCUAACUCCGUGCCAGCAGCCGCGGUAA
rnacentral:rRNA from 1 species